UGCUCCGAUGGCUAAACCACAAACCGGAGGCGUAUCUGUCUCAUCCUUGAAGACGAACAGCCGCAAGCUGACGGGAGAUCCGGACGAUGAACGGCAUUGGGUCAAAAUGGCUGGCACUAGGAGUCACCUCCGAGCGGCCGGAUUUACUGACGAUGACUUUCACAAGCCCAUCAUUACCAUUGCUUGUCCUUACAGCAAUGCUCUACCUUGCAAUGACAAAUUUCGCUAUUUGGCAGAUAUCAUCAUGGAUGAAGUGGAGAAGAGAGGAGGGAAAGGAUUUGUAUGUCAUCCACCUGUUGUCAGUGAUGGUGAAACUAUGGGAACGUAUGGCAUGAAAUAUUCUCUUGUGUCACGUGAAUGGAUAGCAGACUGUGUGGAGAUCAUGCACCAAGCAUAUUCUGCUGAUGCUGUAAUUGCUGUAGGUGGCUGUGACAAAACUGUCCCAGGUGUACUAAUGCCUGUAGCAAGACUGGAUGCUAUAGCAACGUUUGUGUAUGGAGGAGCACGACUUCCGGGAGAAAAUGGAUUGGACACUUCUAAUGUCAAAGAAGCAAUAGGAGCUUAUGGUGCUGGUCUAAUUGACUUGGAAGAGCUGCAUAGAAUUGAGAAGUGCUCGGCUGCUGGUUCUGGGACUUGCAGUGGCAUGUUUACUGCAAACACUAUGGCAUCCUUAGCCGAAGCUCUCGGCAUGGCAGUUCCUGGUACAGCAGCCACACCUGCAGUCAAUGAGCAGAAUGCGGUCACGGCAACUAAAGAGGACGAAUGCAGGCAAGCUGUUGAGCGACUGUUUGAGCUCUUAGGACAGAAAACGUCGUCUCGAAUGAUAAUGACAAGGAAAGCAUUCGAGAAUGCUCUCACUGUUUUCUACGCACUCGGUGGCUCAACGAACGCCGUCCUACAUCUUCUUGCUCUCGCACACGAGGCUCAGGUAGAUCUCACCAUAUCCGACUUCAAUAAAAUCGGCGAACGAAUCCCCAUCAUUACCAACCUGGUCCCUCAUGGGAAGUAUCGAAUGGUCAAGUUGGGUACAGUCGGUGGCCUUCCAGUGGUGAUGAAGGAAUUGCUUGAUAAUGGCCUUCUGUAUGGUGACUGUUUGACGGUGUCUGGUAAAACUUUGGCUGAGAACUUGGAGUCGGUGCCGCUGUUGGGUGAGCUUGGAGAGCAGGAUGUUGUAUUUCCUGUGUCUGCUCCUGUGGCUCCACCUUGCAGACAUGUGCUCAUCUUGCAGGGAAGUCUUGCUCCACAAAGUGCUGUCGUGAAGCUGUGCGGCAAGCAUUUCGAAAAGCCAUUCAUCGGGCCGGCCGUAGUAUUCGAUGAAGAGACAGAAGCGUACAAAUCAAUUAUGUCCAGCUCUAUAAAACCGGGAGAUGUUAUUGUUAUUCGCUAUCAAGGACCGAAGGGAAGUCCUGGAAUGCCGGAAAUGCUGAGUCCCGGUGCGGCAUUAGUCGGAGCAGGAUUGGGGUCGUCUGUUGCUCUAGUGACUGAUGGACGCUUCAGUGGGGCUUCACGAGGAAUUAUGGUUGGUCACGUGACUCCAGAGGCACAAGAAGGCGGUCCGAUUUCUGUGGUGAGAAAUGGUGAUAAGGUGAAGAUUGACACUGCUGCCAAUGAGUUGUCUCUGGAAUUAGAGCAAACCGAGAUUGAUCGGCGACUGGCUAAGUGGAAACCAAAAGAGCGACGACUGCGUGGGUUACUGGCAAAGUAUGCUCGUCUCGUUUCGAGUUCUCACACUGGAGCAACAACGUAUUGAACACGUUGACUGUUUUGUUCCAUUCAGAGUGAAUGAUUCGUGUUGAGAACGUAACAAUAAGAAAGUCCAGUCUCAAUGUGAUACAAUGUUACCAAACACCACUUACCUCCAAACGACAACUACACAUUGUAGAAGAAACUUUGAGAUUGCAAGUGAACGUCAUUUAUCAGACGAUGAUCAGUCAGCUUCAAGUGAUGUCAGUGAAGUAGUUUGACAACCAAGUGCACCAUAAAGAAGGCAGUGAAGGACUCUGGAGUCUCAAUGAGACGAAGACUUCGAAAAGGACACACAGCAAAGCCUAUUUCAGUUAGUUUAUGGGCAACCAGAGUAAUGACCGGGCAACUAAAACUUUAAUGGUUGCCCGGGGACUACUCAGAGAUGAGAGGAUUUGUCGUACACUAAAUCAUUGAUGCCGUACUGUACUACAUGUACUACACAAUUAAUAUC